UGCCCAAAUAAAUAUGUGGGUCUUCACUUUGAGGGAAGGGAUGGCUCAGUGGGCUGACCAUUAGCCUGCUAAACCCAGGAUUGUGAGCUCAGUCCUUGAGGAGGCCACUUAAGGAUAUGGGGCAA